GUUAGUAUUUUUUAAUAUAUUAUUAAUAUUUAUUAUUAUUUUUUAAUUUAUAUUUUAUUGUAACAGCUAAAAUAAAGAAAAUUGAAAAAGUCAAGAACCUGAAGCAAACUUAAUAUCUUGUCCAGUUCUACCUGCAUUAGUAUCUGAAACAGAAAAAUUACCUUCAAAAUCACCAGUUUCUUUGAGAUCAUCGGGAUUGAAAUUAACUAUUUCCCCUGCAUCUACAAGAUCUAAUAUAUCCUCGGUAUCUAUAACAGAAUCACCAACAAAGUUUUCUUAUAAAUCAUCUGAUCAAUCUACCAGAAAAGAAUUAGAAAUUCUGACUGACUUAAACAUACCAGGUACUUCACAUGAAUUACCUAGACCGAUCACUCCAGGCAGCACAUUACCUUCUUUAACGCCAAAAAUCAUGAAUUACAAAACCAACAGCAUCAAGGGAAAGUUACAAAGUCUUGUGUUAUAUAAAUUAAUAGAUGAAGAUACCUUACAUGUAAAAGAAUAUAGACUACACCUCCAAGACAACGAUGGAAAGAAGUUAAAGCAAAGAAAUGCGCAGGAAUACAGAACACUCAGAAAGAUUUUAAACUACUUAAUAAAAAACUUAACGAGUCUCGAGUAUAAAGAUAUUUUUAAUAGAGAAAAUCUAAGAAAUGUUUAUAAAAAAAAAUAUUAGAUGCAGGAAUCAAAGGAAACAGCUUCAAAAUAUGGAUAUCUGCAGUUGAAAAUUAUGUUUACUUUUUGUACAAUAAUAACUACAUACAUGAUACUC
rnacentral:lncRNA from 1 species